AUUGAACGCUGGCGGCAGGCCUAACACAUGCAAGUCGAGCGGCAGCGACUUAACUGAACCUUCGGGGAACGUUAAGGGCGGCGAGCGGCGGACGGGUGAGUAAUGCCUGGGAAUAUGCCCUGAUGUGGGGGAUAACUAUUGGAAACGAUAGCUAAUACCGCAUAAUCUCUUCGGAGCAAAGAGGGGGACCUUCGGGCCUCUCGCGUCAGGAUUAGCCCAGGUGGGAUUAGCUUGUUGGUGAGGUAAUGGCUCACCAAGGCAACGAUCCCUAGCUGGUCUGAGAGGAUGAUCAGCCACACUGGAACUGAGACACGGUCCAGACUCCUACGGGAGGCAGCAGUGGGGAAUAUUGCACAAUGGGGGAAACCCUGAUGCAGCCAUGCCGCGUGUGUGAAGAAGGCCUUCGGGUUGUAAAGCACUUUCAGUAGGGAGGAAGGUAGUGUAGUUAACACCUGCAUUAUUUGACGUUACCUACAGAAGAAGCACCGGCUAACUCCGUG
rnacentral:rRNA from 1 species